CUAGUAUGUACAUCACUAACCAACAGGAAAUGGAGAAAGACCUUAAAUACAUCUACCAAAUAGGGUACCAACAUGGGUAUGAUACAUGUUCUUUGCAAAACAUUUAUCAUAGAAUGCAACAGCCUCAUGCACCUCAAUCAGAAGACAGGAGAAACCAAACUAAUCAAGGUUAUGUGCACAUACCUUAUGCAAUGAAGGAAUAUAACCUUACUAAGAAAUUGGAAAAAGGAUGCACAAAAAAUUAACAUAUAAAAGGCAACCAAUGGUCUUUAGUCAGCUUAGGAAUGAGAAAGAACCUAAAGAGAAUAUUCAAAAAUCAGGAGUCUAUAGAAUACCGGUCAGAAAUACUAAAACAGGAUAACAACAAGGACUUAAAUCAGAGACUAUAAGAACCUAAGAGGGACAUAGCUAAUGCUAAAUUGAACACAUCUCUAGCAAUGAG
rnacentral:lncRNA from 1 species